GUAGGUCAGCGCAGGGGUGACACGGAAUGGGAGCCGGCCGCGGAGGUGGUUUUCCGUGGUCAAGCACGCAGCCAGUCAUGUAGGCAAAUCCGCAUGGCGCGCAUGGCGAGGUGUGAUGAUGGGAGCCGUUAUGGCUCGAUAUCCGGUUGUCCAGGCCGUCGAGAAAAGCCUCGGCGUGAGGGCCAUGGCCGCCCGUACCCCAAACCGACACUGGUGGUCAGGUAGAGAAUACCAAGGCGAUCGAGCGAAUCCUGGUCAAGGAACUCGGCAAAUCACUCCCGUGCCUUCGGUAUAAGGGAGACCCGCUGGGGUGAACCGGCUAGCCCGGGGAGCUUUGGUGGGUGGCACAGACCAGGGGGUAGCGACUGUUUACCAAAAACACAGGUGCAUGCGAAGGCGAAAGCCGCUGUAUAUGCACUGACGCCUGCCCGGUGCCGGAAGGUUAAGAGGAUCCGUCAAUCCCUUCGGGGAUGAAGCGGUGAAUUCAAGCCCCGGUAAACGGCGGUGGUAACUAUAACCAUCCUAAGGUAGCGAAAUUCCUUGUCGGGUAAGUUCCGACCUGCACGAAUGGCGUAACGACUUCCCCACUGUCUCGACCAGGAGCUCGGCGAAAUUGCAGUACGAGUAAAGAUGCUCGUUAAGCGCAGAAGGACGAAAAGACCCCGGGACCUUUACUAUACCUUGGUAUUGGCGUUAGGCGCGGAUUGUGUAGCAUAGGCGGGAGGCUUCGAAGCGGGUGCGCCAGCAUUCGUGGAGCCGCAAGGUGAAAUACCGCUCUGUUCUCGUUUGACGUCUAACCUCGACAAGUCAUCCUUGUCAGGGACAGUGCCUGGCGGGUAGUUCAACUGGGGCGGUUGCCUCCCAAAGAGUAACGGAGGCGCUCAAAGGUCCGCUCAGCCCGGUUGGCAAUCGGGUGUCGAGUGUAAUCGCACAAGCGGGCUUGACUGCGAGGACGACGGUCCGAGCAGGGACGAAAGUCGGAGAUAGUGAUCCGGUGCCGGCGCACGGGCGCGGCAUCGCUCAACGGAUAAAAGGUACCCCGGGGAUAACAGGCUGAUCAUUCCCAAGAGUCCAUAUCGACGGGAUGGUUUGGCACCUCGAUGUCGGCUCGUCGCAUCCUGGGGCUGGAGCAGGUCCCAAGGGUUCGGCUGUUCGCCGAUUAAAGCGGCACGCGAGCUGGGUUCAGAACGUCGUGAGACAGUUUGGUCUCUAUCCUCUGCGCUCGUUGGAAUCCUGAGGAGGCCUGCCCAUAGUACGAGAGGACCUGGGUGGACGAACCUCUGGUAUGCCGGUUGUCGCGCCAGCGGCACGGCCGGUUGGCUACGUUCGGGAGGGAUAACCGCUGAAAGCAUCUAAGCGGGAAGCCUGCUCCAAGAUUAGGAUUCCAUGGAUCUUCGAGAUCCUGUAGCCCGCAUGUUGAACACGUGUUUGAUAGGCCGGAGGUGGAAGCCCCGUGAGGGGUGGAGCCGACCGGUACUAACGGGCGACGGCGACACAA
rnacentral:rRNA from 1 species